AGAAACAUGUAAAAUCAUAUAAUCCUUUUUUCUUGUUUUUUCUUGUUGUUGUUCUUCAUUUUCUUUCAUCAUCAUUCUUCUUUCAUUUGAUUCUCAUCUU
rnacentral:ribozyme from 12 species